rnacentral:rRNA from 1 species
GACGAACGCUGGCGGCGUGCUUAACACAUGCACGUCAAACGGACAGGCCCCGCUUUUGUGGCGUGCUCGCGUGGCGAUCGGGUGCCUAACCCGUGAGUAACCUGCCCUUGACUCGGGGACCGCUUCAGGACACUGGCUCUUAUACCGGAUUGGAGCCCCUGCCGCGUGGAGGGGGUUGGAACGUUUGGGCGGUUGGGGAUGGACUCGCGGCUUUUCAGCUUUGUGGUGGGGUAGUGGCUCCCCCAGGCUUGGAAGGGGAGCCGGCCUGAGGGGGUGACCGGCCACAUUGGGACUGAGAGACGGCCCAGACUCCUACGGGAGGCAGCAGUGGGGAAUAUUGCACAAUGGGCGGAGGCCUGAUGCAGCAACGCCGCGGGCGGGAUGACGGCCUUCGGGUUGUAAACCGCUUUCGCCUGUUACGAAGCGUGUGUGACGGUAAUGGGUAAAGAAGCACCGGCUAACUACGUG